UGGGGUGGGCACAUGGUCGCUCCGGCUUUGGCCGGAGAGGAAAGUCCGAACUCCGCAGGGCAGGAUGGUUCGUAACGCGAACGCCGGGUAACCGGGGGAAAGUGCCACAGAAAACAAACCGCCCGGCUUGACCGGGUAAGGGUGAAACGGCGAGGUAAGAGCUCACCGCUCGGCUGGCGACAGUCGAGGCACGGCAAACCCCAUUCGGAGCAAGACCAAAUAGAGAGACGCUUGAGGGCUGCCCGUCCGAGGUCUCCGGGUAGGUUGCAAGAGGUGCCGGGCAACCGGUAUCCCCAGUGAAAUGAUCAUGACCCCGGCAACGGGGAACAGAAUUCGGCUUAUCGCCCGCCCCAAUUU
rnacentral:RNase_P_RNA from 1 species